GACGAACGCUGGCGGCGUGCUUAACACAUGCAAGUCGAGCGGUAAGGCCCUUUCGGGGGUACACGAGCGGCGAACGGGUGAGUAACACGUGGGCGACCUACCCUCAGCUUCGGGAUAAGCCUGGGAAACUGGGUCUAAUACCGGAUAUGACCUUCCCUCGCAUGGGGGUUGGUGGAAAGUUUUUUCGGCUGGGGAGUGGGCCCGCGGCCUAUCAGCUUGUUGGUGGGGUGGAUGGCCUACCAAGGCGACGACGGGUAGCCGGCCUGAGAGGGCGGACCGGCCACACUGGGACUGAGAUACGGCCCAGACUCCUACGGGAGGCAGCAGUGGGGAAUAUUGCGCAAUGGGCGGAAGCCUGACGCAGCGACGCCGCGUGGGGGAGUGACGGCC
rnacentral:rRNA from 1 species